GACUCUCACUGUGAAAGCAACCUGGGUGAAGCCUUCAGGAAAGGGAGCACUGUUUAGAGAGAAGGCCUUCUCUACGUGUCA
rfam:Tupaia belangeri cont1.064124, whole genome shotgun sequence.